GCUGGGCAUGGUGGCACAUGCCUGUAAUCCCAGCUACUUGGGAGGCUGAGGCAGGAGAAUUGCUUGAACUCAGGAGGUGGAGGUUGUGGUGAGCUGAGAUCACACCAUUGCACUCCAGCCUGGGUGACAGAGCGAGACUCUGUCUCGA
ensembl:misc_RNA Metazoa_SRP Metazoan signal recognition particle RNA